UACGUAGGGUGCAAGCGUUGUCCGGAAUUAUUGGGCGUAAAGGGCUCGUAGGCGGUCUGUCGCGUCUGCUGUGAAAACUCGGGGCUUAACCCCGCGCCUGCAGUGGGUACGGGCAGACUAGAGUGCGGUAGGGGAGAUUGGAAUUCCUGGUGUAGCGGUGGAAUGCGCAGAUAUCAGGAGGAACACCGAUGGCGAAGGCAGAUCUCUGGGCCGUUACUGACGCUGAGGAGCGAAAGCGUGGGGAGCGAACAGG
rnacentral:rRNA from 1 species